rnacentral:piRNA from 1 species
GACACGCCUGUGCUCUGGAUGUGAGAUGUC